AGAGUUUGAUCAUGGCUCAGAUUGAACGCUGGCGGCAGGCCUAACACAUGCAAGUCGAGCGGUAGAGAGAAGCUUGCUUCUCUUGAGAGCGGCGGACGGGUGAGUAAUGCCUAGGAAUCUGCCUGGUAGUGGGGGAUAACGUCCGGAAACGGACGCUAAUACCGCAUACGUCCUACGGGAGAAAGCAGGGGACCUUCGGGCCUUGCGCUAUCAGAUGAGCCUAGGUCGGAUUAGCUAGUUGGUGGGGUAAUGGCUCACCAAGGCGACGAUCCGUAACUGGUCUGAGAGGAUGAUCAGUCACACUGGAACUGAGACACGGUCCAGACUCCUACGGGAGGCAGCAGUGGGGAAUAUUGGACAAUGGGCGAAAGCCUGAUCCAGCCAUGCCGCGUGUGUGAAGAAGGUCUUCAGAUUGUAAAGCACUUUAAGUUGGGAGGAAGGGCAGUAAAUUAAUACUUUGCUGUUUUGACGUUACCGACAGAAUAAGCACCGGCUAACUCUGUGCCAGCAGCCGCGGUAAUACAGAGGGUGCAAGCGUUAAUCGGAAUUACUGGGCGUAAAGCGCGCGUAGGUGGUUCGUUAAGUUGGAUGUGAAAUCCCCGGGCUCAACCUGGGAACUGCAUUCAAAACUGACGAGCUAGAGUAUGGUAGAGGGUGGUGGAAUUUCCUGUGUAGCGGUGAAAUGCGUAGAUAUAGGAAGGAACACCAGUGGCGAAGGCGACCACCUGGACUGAUACUGACACUGAGGUGCGAAAGCGUGGGGAGCAAACAGGAUUAGAUACCCCGGUAGU
rnacentral:rRNA from 1 species